AAUGCUUUUUCAUUAUAUAUAUAUAUAUAUAUACAAACAAUAUACAUGGUGAUAUGUAAUAUUAAAUUUUAUUGGUAUGGCCAACCAAUCAAACUUAAUAUUACAAAUUACCACGCUCAUAAUUACUUUAAUAAAAAAACUAAUUUAUUAAUAAAAUUAGUUAUUAAUAUUAAUCACAGCCACAAUUCAUAGUGACAAAAAGUAAAAGUUGCCGGGCAUUUUUUUUGUCAACAGAUGACGCCACUUUCCAUUCAGUAAGAGUACUAACUUGUAAAUGUCAGGUCGAAUCAAGCCCUUCCAUGGACUGUCCACCCCUGCGAAGGGGUCAGCCAGAUGGUGGAGGUUGGGGAUCAAUGGACUGAGCUCGGACCCCACGAUAAAUAUUUUCAAGGGGGAGACCCGUGACUCGAAUCCGGAUCCUCUAGAGUGGAAAGCCGAAGAGUUUCCAUGCGGCCAAUCCGGCCGAUUCCUGGCAUUAUUUUAUCUCAUUGAUGAGGAUCGCGUAAUCCAGAG
rnacentral:lncRNA from 1 species